AGGACGAACGCUGGCGGCGUGCUUAACACAUGCAAGUCGAGCGGAAAGGCCCUUCGGGGUACUCGAGCGGCGAACGGGUGAGUAACACGUGAGCAACCUGCCCUUAGCUCCGGGAUAGCUCCGGGAAACCGGAAUUAAUACCGGAUAUGACCUAGGCCGACAUCGGCUGUGGUGGAAAGUUUUUCGGCUGGGGAUGGACUCGCGGCCUAUCAGCUUGUUGGUGGGUAAUGGCCUACCAAGGCGACGACGGGUAGCCGGCCUGAGAGGGCGACCGGCCACACUGGGACUGAGACACGGCCCAGACUCCUACGGGAGGCAGCAGUGGGGAAUCUUGCGCAAUGGGCGAAAGCCUGACGCAGCGACGCCGCGUGGGGGAUGAAGGCCUUCGGGUUGUAAACCCCUUUCAGCAGGGACGAAGCGAAAGUGACGGUACCUGCAGAAGAAGCGCCGGCUAACUACGUGCCAGCAGCCGC
rnacentral:rRNA from 1 species